rnacentral:rRNA from 1 species
UGGGGAAUUGUUCACAAUGGGCGCAAGCCUGAUGACGCAAUGCCGCGUGGAGGAUGAAGGUCUUCGGAUUGUAAACUCCUGUUGCCAGGGACGAAUGGCUCCGACCUAACACGUCGGAGAAUGACGGUACCUGGUGAGGAAGGCCCGGCUAACUCUGUGCCAGCAGCCGCGGUAAUACAGAGGGGGCGAGCGUUGUUCGGAAUUACUGGGCGUAAAGGGCGCGUAGGCGGCCUUCUAAGUCGAACGUGAAAUCCCCGGGCUCAACCCGGGAACUGCGUCCGAUACUGGGAGGCUUGAAUCCGGGAGAGGGAUGUGGAAUUCCAGGUGUAGCGGUGAAAUGCGUAGAUAUCUGGAGGAACACCGGUGGCGAAGGCGGCAUCCUGGACCGGUAUUGACGCUGAGGCGCGAAAGCCAGGGGAGCAAAC